ACGCUUUGACGAAAUCUUUUUAAAUUUAGAUAUGUUGUUUCCUGAGACUAAAUGAAGGUCAAGUUCAAUUUUCACGAUUUUAGCUGUUCUCGUUUUUGAGUUGUAGACCUUUCAGUAGCAAAAGUGAUUCUUAUUUUAUGAUUUUGAGUUAUUUCCCUUUCAAAGGAAAUUGUGUAAUUAAUAAUUAAUUUAUAUGUCAUUUAGUCUCUUGUUUUAUUUUGAGUAGUUUCCUUUUGAACAGAAAUGGUGUAAAUUAUAAGUCUAUCAAUGAUUGUAUCUGUUCAAUUGAUUUUAGUCAGGAGUUGUCAAAAAUUUGUUUAGAACUAUUUUUUUUAAAGUUGUGCGUUUUGAAGGUAGAUGUCAUAGUUGUUAUGUGGUAUUUUCUUUUUGUUGUAUGUGUAAAUGUUUAAUUUUUACUUGAUCCUGUUUGGGGGUCCAGAUUUGCAAACAUCAUUUUCAUUAGAUAAUAAUCUAUUUUUAUUCUUCCUAUAAAACUACAAACAAUUUGUAAAAUAGAUUUUUGUAAUUAAUUAAAUAUGCACAUUUGUAUAUGUAUUUGGAUUAGGACAAUGUAUUUACUAUUAAUUUUUUCAUGCAAUAAUUUCCAUCUUUUAUCAAGAUAGCAAACAUGUGGUAAUUAUCAACUAAAAAAAUUAUAAUUCGAGUGACAGAUUUAUUUUUCAUUUUGGGCCAAGUUUUCAAGUUGGUCCAAAUAGGGGUUCAAAAUUAAACUGUGUUUGAUUUCAACAAAAAUUGAAUUUAUGGUGUUCUUUUAAAUGCUGAAUCUAGGUAUGGAUUUAGAGAUUUUUGAUUUUGGGCUCCUUUAUCAAAUUGGUCCACAUUGAGGUCCAAAGGGUCCUGAUUGAAACUUUUGUUUGAUUUCAUCAAAAAUUGAAUUCUUGGGGUUCUUUAAUAUGCUGAUUCUAACAAUUUACUUAAAUUUUGGAUAUUGGACCAUCAUAGGUAUAUGUCAGAUAACAUUUUUUCAGUUCUUUGACCACAUUCAUUUUGUGUCACAAUCUUAUGCUGUGUCAAAUAUUCAAUCAAAAUCAAAAUUCAGAGCUGUUUUAAGCUUAAAUAAUGUGUCCAUACUUGCUCGACUGUUCAGGGCUCACCCUCUGCUGAAUAAUCCGGUUUGCUGUCAAUCUGACAGCCUCUUGUAUAAGAUAAGUUGAUCAGGCCAUUUAUACAACAUUGAAAGUGCUGACCAAUUGACACAUAAAUAGAGUAAUUACUACCAAACUACUGCAGAAUAGUGAGCUUUUCCGUAAUAAGCAAAAUUGUAUUUGAAUUAUUUUGUACAAAUCUUAGAACAGAAAUGCCACUGAUAUUCUGUCUGUUUCAAUAGCUCCUUCAAUGAACUAUAUUUUUCAAUAUGAAUAAGAAGAUGUGGUAUGAGUGUCAAUGAGCCAACUCUCCAUCCAAGUAACAAUGUAUAAAAAGUUAACAUAUAUAGGUCAAAAUACGGCCUUCAACACAAAGCCAUGGUUUACACCGAACAGCAAGAUAUGAAGGUCCCCAAAAUGUCUAGUGUAAAACAGUUCAAACAGGAAAACCAACGGUCUAAUCUAUAUAAAAAAAACGAGAAACACUUAUGAACCACACCAACAAACGACAACCUCUGAACAACAGGCUCCUGACUAAGGACAGGUGCAUAAAAAUGCAGCGGGUUUAAACAUUUUAACAGGCGCCAACCUUCACCCUAUGCUGAGACAGUAGUGUAACAUUACAACAUAAAAAACACACAAUUGAAUAUCAACUGAAAUGGCUUAACUCGAUCAAAAAGACAUUUAAACAAAAACAAUUAAAAACAUACACUGAACGAAUAAGUUUGAUCUAUGACAAAAUAGAAAUACAAUAUAAAUAAAAAAGAUGUAGGAACAGUGUCAAAAAGACAACUCUAACCUGGGACAAAAUGACAUUAAAUAAAACAAAGUACACAGUUAAGUUAAAAUAUAAUAAUUUUGUUGUUAGGAGUACAGAGGUAAACAUUUUUACAAAAUUAAUAAAUUUGUUGUUCACAGUACGAUCAAAAAGUGAAGAUUUAUCGUAUUACUAAAUACUUAUGGUACAUAUUAAAAAUAGUCAGACGAGAUAUAACACAAAAUAUAUAUAUACAUUGAAUUACAGAAAUGCAUUACAAAUUGUGUCAACAGGCCAAACUAACAUGAAAGUACUAUAUCAAUGUACUCGCAGUUUCUGGAAGCUAGUUAAAAGCCAAAACCAGUAAUAAAAAAUCAUGCAUCAGAGACUAAAAUCAAUGAAAACACAUCCCAGGGAUUAAGUAUUUUAACGCCAAUGACAGUCAAAGAAGAUAUAAUGUAUAAUUAUCUAUUAAAUACCAAGUAGAUGAUUUUCUCUAAAUCUAUUAAAGGAUAAAGUUUUUCAAGCUUGGCAAAUUAGACAGGAGACUGGGGAUAUAUAUCUGAAAAAAACUUGAGGCCUUUUGCUGCUAAUAGGAAAUGAGUUCAUAACUGAUUCACUGUCAACGAUAAUAAGUGUAUCAAAAUACACAGAAGAAAACUUCAGUUUGUUUCAAGACAUUGUUAAACAGCAUGAAUUGGUAAAUGGUGUAGAAAAAAGUUAACCUUAAAAUGUAUACCUCUCAAAAGGAAAGCAUUACAACCAAUUUUGUGCAAUUCUGUGCAGCUGCUAGAGAUCCAUUGAUUCAUACCAAAAACUUUUCUGUAAAUUUGGAGGUCAAAAUCAACAACAACAAUUGUACUGGUAAAACAAUUGAUAACAUCAUUUGUAAAAUAAAAAAAAUGAAUUUUAUUCUAAUUGGAGAAAUGAAAAGUUAACAUUAUACAGUUAUAGCUGAACAUUUUGAAAAUAGAUCAAUUGACUUUUUGUGUACACAAAGCACUGUUGAUAACAUUCAAGACUCUGUUUGUGACAUACAAUAUCCCUGAAACCCAAAUUUCUGUAAAUCCAUCUGGGCAAUAAUUAUUUCAAUAGCAAUUGUUUAAUUUCAAAAUCAGUCAGACACAUCUCUUUAAGGAUGUACUUAGGUGAAAUUAAAAAAAUCUAGAAUCUAAUAUUGGUACUAUAAGUCAGAAGAGUUCUAGUAAAGGAACAAAAUAAGCUAAAAAUAUUGAUAGGUUAUGGAGCUCCUUUUCGAGAUAUUUAAUUUUCUCUGAAAUGGCGGGAAAAGACUGACUCGGACUUUUACCUAUAUUUACAUUGGUAUUAUUUGGGUCUCAAACAAAAGAAAAGAAAUCUAGAAUUUGCUUAAAUUUUGGUAAAUGACCUUUCAUGAGCUAUUGAAGUCGUAUAUGAAAAGAAAACUGGGUGUUAUGGGGCAAAAUAUUUUACCCUGUAUCACUGGAAAAAAACCAAGGACUCCGAACAUUUGACAAAAAUUCCUAACCUCACCUAAGUACAUCCUAAAGGUAGAUCUAGUGCCUUUAUGUGAGCAUCCUUUCUGGGGAGUUGCAAAAUACUUUUUUGGGUUAUACAAUAUUUUAAAAAGUAUAAUUCAAUAUACAACAAUUAAGAUAUAACCCUAAAAAGGAAAGCAUUACCAACCAGUUUUGUGCAAUUCUGUGCAGCUGCUAGAGAUCGAAUGAUUCAUACCAAAAACUUUUAUGUAAAUUUGGAGGUCAAAAUCAACAACACCAAUUGAUAACAUCAUCGUAAAUAAAAAAAAAAUUUGUAUUCGAAUCGGAGAAGGGGAAAUAUAACAUAAUAGCGGAACAUUUUAAAAAUAGAUCAAUUGACUAUUUUUAUACACAAAGCAGAGUUGAUAACAUUCAAGAUUCUGUUUCUGACACACAAGUCACACAUAUCCCUGAAACACAAAUCUUUCUGGGCAAUACUUAUUUCAAUAGCAGUUGUUUAAUUUCAAAAUAAGUGAGACAGAUGUCUUUAAUGUGGAUUGGGUGUCUUUUUAUCGGAAUCCCUUCUGGGCAAGUUGCAAAACUCUGUUUUGAUUUUAAAGUAUUUUACCAAGUAUCAUUCAAUGUACGACAAUUAAGAUAUACCUUUUAAAGGGAAAAUAUUACAAUUGACCAGUUUUGUGCAAUUCUGUGCAGCUGCUAGAAAUCCAUCAAUUCAUGCCCAAACCUUUUAUGUAAAUUUGGAGGUCAAAAUCAACAACUCCAGUUGUAUUGGCAAAACAAUUAAUAACAUCAUUUGUAUAAAUAAAUUAAAAAAAAUUAUUCGAAUUAGAGAAAGGAAAAAAUAACAUUAAAGCUGAGCAUUUUGAAACUAGAUCAAUUGACUCGUUGUGUACACAAAGCACUGUUGAUAAUUUUCAAGACUCUGUUUCUGACACAAAAGUCACGCAUAUCCCUGAAACCCAAAUGUCCCUAAAUCUUUCUUGGCAUCAAUUAUUUCAAAAGCAAUUAUUUAAAUUGAAAACAAAAGAGACAGAUGUCUUUAAGGUAGAUCAGGUGUCUUUUUGUGAGCAUCCCUUCUGGACAAGUUGAAAAACCUUUUUUUGGUUUAAAAAUAUUUAAAAAAAAUGUAUCAUUCAAUAUACAACAAUUAAGAUAUACCUCUUAAAGGGAAAACAUUACCAACCAGUUUUGUGCAAUUCUGUGCAGCUGCUAAAAUCCUUUUUUGGUUUAAAAAUAUUUUACCAAGCAUUACUCAAUAUACAACAGAAAUCACUAAAACUUGAAAUUUAAGGAUUUAACUAUGAAAAAAAUAAAGUUUUGUUAAGUGUUUUUAAAUUUUCAGAAAAAUUCCUUUUAAAAUCAAGAGCAGAUAAUUAUAUUGAAUAAGAUAAGAACAUUUUUAUUUUUUCUUAUUUUUUGAGAAAAUAAGGCCUGUGUAAUCAGCAAUAUAACCGAAGCAUAUGUCUACAAUGUUGAGAAGAAGUUUGCCAGUAAUUAUAAAGAUCACUGCAAACAACAUUAAAGAGUA